UGCACUAUCGUUAACUGAAUACAUAGGUUAACGAGGCAGUCAGAGGCGAUGAAGGACGUGCUAAUCUGCGAAAAGCGCCGGCGAGGUGAUAUGAACCUUUGACCCGGCGAUGUCCGAAUGGGGAAACCCAGUGCAAUUCGUUGCACUAUCGUUAACUGAAUACAUAGGUUAACGA
rnacentral:rRNA from 1 species